CGCCAACCUCACAACCCCAACUGGAGCUGCGGACGAACUGCAACCGAGGAGGGGAGUAACCUGUGGCUUCCUGAAUAGCAUGGAGAAGGCAACUUCUGAUGGACAGACAUUUCCAGAAAGAAUGCCAGCCUCUUUCCUUGCUGAUCUCCUCUCUGUCUGGCUCUUACUCACCACUUAAAGAUGAGGUUGAGCCAGUCUCCAAUCACAGCUACCCAGAGGAGUCUGAUGCCCACAGCUUCUCGAAGAUGGAACCAGAUGGGGAAGAGGACAUAGUAGGCAUUCCUGAGGUCUGCAAUCACGGAGACCAGAAUGAACCAAUCCUGGGAGUCCUUGUAAUUCACCUGGAGGAUCCAGAUGUGGUGAGGAGGAAUGCUAUAGAGGAUGCAGGUACCCAUCUGAGCCUUCAUGGAACUUACACAGUCAACCAUCAGCCACAGGCCAAGAGUUGGAGUGGGGACAUGAGGCCGGCACCACUAAGAGGCCAGGCCAAGAACUCACACUAAUAAUGUGUAUGUGUGUGGAUUCGAGCUCCCUUCAGUGGGAUCCAUAGGUCCAAGGGUCCCCCGAAGGCCUACAUUCCCAAGAUUUCCUCUCACUUGCCAGGUUCCUCCAAGAACUUUGCUGUUCUGACCCUUUGGAUUUCUCUGGGGCUGCAUUCUUUAGUGUCUGGUUGCUUCUUUCUUGUGGUUGGAAGGAUAUGUUCCCAGG